rnacentral:rRNA from 1 species
AGCCGCAGAAACCAGGCCGCUGCAACUGUUUAUUAAAAACAUAGCACUCUGCAAACACGAAAGUGGACGUAUAGGGUGUGAUGCCUGCCCGGUGCUGGAAGGUUAAUUGAUGGGGUUAGCGUAAGCGAAGCUCUUGAUCGAAGCCCCAGUAAACGGCGGCCGUAACUAUAACGGUCCUAAGGUAGCGAAAUUCCUUGUCGGGUAAGUUCCGACCUGCACGAAUGGCAUAAUGAUGGCGGCGCUGUCUCCAGCAGAGGCUCAGUGAAAUCGAAAUCGCUGUGAAGAUGCAGUGUACCCGCGGCUAGACGGAAAGACCCCGUGAACCUUUACUGCAGCUUGACACUGAACUUUGACCUUACUUGUGUAGGAUAGGUGGGAGGCUUUGAAGCUGGAACGCUAGUUCCAGUGGAGCCGUCCUUGAAAUACCACCCUGGUAAUGUUGAGGUUCUAACUCUGUCCCGUGAUCCGGGACGAGGACCGUGUCUGGUGGGUAGUUUGACUGGGGCGGUCUCCUCCUAAAGAGUAACGGAGGAGUACGAAGGUGCGCUCAGCGUGGUCGGAAAUCACGCGUAGAGUAUAAAGGCAAAAGCGCGCUUAACUGCGAGACCCACAAGUCGAGCAGGUACGAAAGUAGGUCUUAGUGAUCCGGUGGUUCUGUAUGGAAGGGCCAUCGCUCAACGGAUAAAAGGUACUCUGGGGAUAACAGGCUGAUACCGCCCAAGAGUUCAUAUCGACGGCGGUGUUUGGCACCUCGAUGUCGGCUCAUCUCAUCCUGGGGCUGAAGCAGGUCCCAAGGGUAUGGCUGUUCGCCAUUUAAAGAGGUACGCGAGCUGGGUUUAGAACGUCGUGAGACAGUUCGGUCCCUAUCUACCGUGGGCGCUGGAAAUUUGAGAGGAUCUGCUCCUAGUACGAGAGGACCAGAGUGGACGAACCUCUGGUGUACCGGUUGUGACGCCAGUCGCAUCGCCGGGUAGCUAUGUUCGGAAGGGAUAACCGCUGAAAGCAUCUAAGCGGGAAGCCUACCUCAAGAUAAGAUUUCCCUAGGACUUUAUGUCCUCUAAAGAGCCGUUCGAGACUAGGACGUUGAUAGGUUGGAUGUGGAAGCAUAGUGAUAUGUGAAGCUGACCAAUACUAAUUGCUCGUGAGGCUUGACUAUACAACACCCAAGCAGUUG